GCUUCUGGGAUAGCUCAGUUAGUAGAGCAUGAGACUCUUAAUCUCAUGGUCAUGGGUUCGAACGUCACGUUGGGCA